rnacentral:rRNA from 1 species
AUUGAACGCUGGCGGCAUGCCUUACACAUGCAAGUCGAACGGCAGCACGGGUGCUUGCCCCUGGUGGCGAGUGGCGAACGGGUGAGUAAUACAUCGGAACAUGUCCUGUAGUGGGGGAUAGCCCGGCGAAAGCCGGAUUAAUACCGCAUACGAUCUACGGAUGAAAGCGGGGUACCUUCGGGCCUCGCGCUAUGGGGUUGGCCGAUGGCUGAUUAGCUAGUUGGUGGGGUAAAGGCCUACCAAGGCGACGAUCAGUAGCUGGUCUGAGAGGACGACCAGCCACACUGGAACUGAGACACGGCCCAGACUCCUACGGGAGGCAGCAGUGGGGAAUUUUGGACAAUGGGCGAAAGCCUGAUCCAGCAAUGCCGCGUGUGUGAAGAAGGCCUUCGGAUUGUAAAGCACUUUUGUCCGGAAAGAAAUCCUUUGCCCUAAUACGGUCGGGGGAUGACGGUACCGGAAGAAUAAGCACCGGCUAACUACGUG